UGAUGGAAUUCCAUUGGGAACACUAAUUUUGACGCGCUAUUCUCCUUCUUACAAUAGUGGGCACUUCGUGCUUCCUCGAGCGCUUUUUGUAAAACAUAAUAUUUGCAGCCUCUCUCCAAGAAUUUUGUAGUCAUUUCCUUCAACUGAAGUUCCAUGUUUUUUUCAUUGGAAUUAUUCCUAAUGACGCGCAUGUACUGCGCUUGUGGUAGAGAAUUCUUCA